GCUUUGGUGGUGUAACGGUAGCACACUCGGCGUGUACUCGAGAGAUCCAGGUUCGAAUCCCGGCAAGGGCA
rfam:Stegodyphus mimosarum contig19597, whole genome shotgun sequence.